UCUUAGGGAUAAGCAAAGAAAAUGGUGUCUUGAGAUGGAAUCUACUCCUGGUGAAGAUACUGUGAA
rnacentral:pre_miRNA from 1 species